rnacentral:rRNA from 1 species
UACAGAGGGGGCAAGCGUUGUUCGGAAUUACUGGGCGUAAAGGGCGCGUAGGCGGCCUGUUAAGUCGGACGUGAAAUCCCUGGGCUCAACCCAGGAACUGCGUCCGAUACUGGUUGGCUUGAAUCCGGGAGAGGGAUGUGGAAUUCCAGGUGUAGCGGUGAAAUGCGUAGAUAUCUGGAGGAACACCGGUGGCGAAGGCGACAUCCUGGACCGGUAUUGACGCUGAGGCGCGAAAGCCAGGGGAGCAAACGGG